GGGGAGAUAACUGAAAAAAACAAAGUAGAACUCAUGAGCUGAGAUAAAACUAUUUACUAAGACACAGAACAGGAAAAAAUAGUCCUGACUUACAGCCCAGAAAGCCAACUGGGUUCUGGGCUGCAUUAAAAAAGGGGUGGCCAGCAGGGACAGGGAGGUGAUUUUUCCCCUCUACUCAACUCUUGUGAGGACCUAUCUGGGGGGUACUGCGUCCAGGCCUGAGGCCCCCAGUACAGGAAGGACGUGGAGCUCUUAGAGCAGGUCCAGAGGAGGGCCACUAGGAUGAUCAGAGGGCUGGAGCAGCUCUCCUAUGAGGAAAGGUUGAGGGAACUGGGAUUGUUUAGCUUGGGGAAGAGAAGCCUCUGGGGAGACCUCAUUGCGGCCUUCCAGUACUUGAAGGGAGCAUAUAAACAGGAGGGAGAACAGUUGUUUACGAGGGUCGACAGUGAUAGGAUAAGAGGAAAUGAAGUUUUUCACUCAGAGGGUGAUGUCACACUGGAACAGGUUGCCCAGAGAGGUUGUGGAUGCCCCAUCCCUGGAGGCAUUCAAGGCCAGGCUGGAUGUGGUUCUGGGCAGUCUUGUCUAGUGGUUGGCGACCCUGCACAUAGCAGGGGGGUUGAAACUAGAUGUCAUUGUGGUCCUUUUCAACCCAGGCUAUUCUAUGAUUCUAUGAUUCUGUGAUUCUGCAGAAGCG
rnacentral:lncRNA from 1 species